ensembl:lncRNA
GGGACAGAGCUAGGGGACAAGGGGCUAGGGGACAGAGUUAUCGGACAAGGUUAUCGGACAAGGUGCUAGGGGACAGAGCUAGGGGACAAGGGGCUAGGGGACAAAGAUUAUCGGACAAGGGGCUAGGGGACAGAGCUAGGGGACAGAGCUAUCAGACAAGGGGCUAGGAGACAGAGCUAGGGGACAAGGGGCUAGGGGACAGAGCUGUUGGACAAGGGGCUAGGGACAGAGUUAUCAGACAAGGGGCUAGGGGACAGAGUUAUCAGACAAGGGGCUAACGGACAGAGCUAGGGACAGAGCUAUCAGACAAGGGGCUAGGGGACAGAGCUAGGGGACAAGGGCUAGGGACAGAGCUAUAGGGGACAGAGUUAUCAGACAAGGGGAGAGCGGACAGAGCUAGG